rnacentral:lncRNA from 1 species
GUUUCCUAGGAAAAAUGGCGUCUUGUUUUACACAUGCUUCUUGAUGAACGAUGGCUGAGGCCCCUCUGGAUUCUGGCUCAAUGGGCAAAUGGACGCAGAGUAAAACCUCACUACUCUGGCUACCCAAGGAAGUCUACUGCAAAGAGCCGCGCAUUCCAAGAUGCCAAAGCCGGAGAUCUGCUUGCUGGAACGAGGGACGGACUCUUGCAGAACCACAGGCUCGGAUGUGAGUUCCUCGUUUUAGACACAUGUCUGGAGACAGCUCUGCCUCAUGCCAAGAAAGAAUGAUAAGAGCACCUUGCUCUCAUGCCGUGCGAUACCAUUUUUGGGGAAUACUGAACUACAGUGGACUCAGAGUCUUCCAGAGUAAGCAGAGGGACCCCAUCUGGGAUGGUGACUCUUGUCUGUGGCUUCUGACUCACCAGGUCCCUCCGAGUAUUCCCAGCAGCAGGAGGUGAGUCCUGAAGUCUACAUAUGGGGUCCUUGCAGCUAUUAGUGGUGAGUCAUACGGGGCUGAGUUUGGUACAUGAGUACUAGACAUGAGUCAUGGGCAUAUGGGAAUCUUAUUCAUCUCUACCUUCCUUUGGUCCCUAAUCCUUUGUAAUGCCUCAGACUCAUGAUGUCACUUGAGGAGCAUUAAGCUCGGACAGCAAAGUGAUGUAAUUAAUUUAACUCAAUUUCAAUUAAAGUCUUCUGCUAGCGUGACAUCUGACAAUGUUGGUUUCAAAGGGGAAAUGGUAGCAGGUGGCUCGGCACAUCCAGCUGGAGAGAUUUGCUAGAUGGCCUUUAUUCUGGUUUUAUUCCCAUCCCUGGUCUUAAGCACCUUGGACUCGUGAAACAUACACUUUAUCAACAUUUCUUGGCUCAGCUAUUAGCUCAGGACCGGGAUAGUGGGUGCUGG